rnacentral:rRNA from 1 species
UACGGAGGGAGCUAGCGUUGUUCGGAAUUACUGGGCGUAAAGCGCACGUAGGCGGCUUUGCAAGUUAGAGGUGAAAGCCCGGGGCUCAACUCCGGAAUUGCCUUUAAAACUGCAUCGCUAGAGUUGUGGAGAGGUGAGUGGAACUGCGAGUGUAGAGGUGAAAUUCGUAGAUAUUCGCAAGAACACCAGUGGCGAAGGCGGCUCACUGGCCCGAUACUGACGCUGAGGUACGAA